rnacentral:lncRNA from 10 species
CUUUGGGCACAGCACAACACAACCAAGUGAGCACUGGAAACCUGGCACCCAUAGGAUAUUGAAAGUUAUCAGGAUAUUCUUCCCACUCCAAGAUCCAGGAAAGUAACACAUCAAUACAGGACAAGGAGAUGCUUCAACAUCAGAAAUGCAUGGGAGAGUUCUGGAUGUUGGGAAGCAGAAGAACAAGGUGCCAGCAGAUCCAGUGUCUGUGAGAGCUGCUGUCAGCUUCCAGAUGGUGCCUUAUUGCUACAUCCUUUAAGGUGUUGAACCCUGUGUCUUCACAUGGCCAAAAGAAGAGAAGGGUAAAAAGAGCCUUGCUAGUUCCCUCUAGCCCUUUUAUAAGGUCAUAGGAAAUGAAACAGACUGCUGUUUUCAUGAGUGACCUGUUCUCGAGCCUAAGAAUCUCUUGGGCCACCCAGCCCCACAGAGGCCAGUAGGAGGUCAACUCUCCACCUCCCUAAAAAAAAAAAAAACGAGUGUGCGAGAAGUAUGUUGUAAUUGAAGUAGCAUACUGCCUGACACCCAAGAGGUUGCUCUGUAAGUGAAUUGCCUUUCACCUCCUGCCAUGAUUCUGAGGCCCCCAGCCAUGUGGAACUGGAGAAGGGAGAUGAAAUAAUACCAGCAUCCUGAACCUGAAUGUCCAGCUUCGCCUUGUUCUUUGUGGAUUAUAAGACCAUUGAUUAAAUAAAUCCUUUCAUCAAAAUUAUCUUAAAAAAGAAACUACCAUCUAAAUCCAGUUAUUCCAUCUGACUUGGUAGCAGUGAUGUUUGGAGUUUAGGACCUAAAGGUGAAAUGGGGAAAAUCUGGGUGCUCGGAAAGACACCAGAAGCACACAGAAGAAGAUCAUAUGAAGACACAACAAGAAGGUGACUAGCUGCAAGCCAAGAAGAGAAGCCUCAGAAGAAAUCAAACGUACUAGCACCUUGAUCUUGGAAUUCCAGUCUCCAAAGCUGCGAGAAAAUAAAAUUCUGUUGCUUAAGCUGCCAAGACUAUGGUAUUUUCUUAUGGCAAUCUUAGCAAAAUAACCCUAUUAGCAAACAAAUGCAUACAAAAUCUCUGUAAAUACAGCAGGUUUCCUUUUUAAAAAAACUCUUUAUUUUGAAAAAUUAUAGUUCUACAACAAAUAAUAAAAAAGAUAUACAGGAUGGUCCUAUUUACUCUUGACUCAGUUUCCCUUAUAGUAACAUCUUAUAUAACUACUAGGAAAAUGAUGUUGAUACAUUCCACAUAUCUUGUUAAAAUUUAACCAGUUUUACAUGUAUUAGUUUGUUCUAUGCAAUUUUCUUGCAUGUGUAGACCCAUGUUACCACUACCAUAGAGAAAAUCCAGAAUCAUUCCAUCACCAGAGGCUCCUUCAUGCUGUCUCUUUAUACUCAUUCUUACCUCUUUCUCUAGCUCAUCCCUAACCCCUCACAACCAUUAAUCUGUUCUCCAUCUCUACAACCCUGUUAUUUCAAGAAUGCCAUAUAAUGAGAAUCAAAAUUAAGUGAACUUUUGGGACUAUUUUCACUCAGAAUAAUUCUCUUGAAAUUCAGCCAAGUUAUUGUGUGCAACAAUAACUCAUUCCUUCUUAUUGCGGAGUAGUAGUCCAUGAUAUGGAUGCACUACAGGUUCCUUAACCACUUACUAGGAUAUUACAGUUGUUUACAGUUUGAAGCUAUUAUGACUAAAGCUGACGCUCACAUUUAUAUAUAAGUUUUUAUACAGAAAUAUGUCUCCAUUUCUCUGGAAAAAAAAUCCCAAGGGUACAAUUGCCGAGUCAAAUGUUAAGUGAAUGUUUACUUUAAAAGUGUUAUAUUGUUUUUUAGAGUGGGUGUACCAUUUUACAUUACCAUCAGCAAUGUAUAAGAGGUCCUGUUUCUCAGUAUCAGGCAAUAGAUAAUGUAUGUGCCAUGUAUACGUUUCCAGAACAUGAAAGUAUAGGAAUCUUCUUUUAUUUUAUUAUGUUAGCAUACCCUUCACACUCAAACCUAGCUGUGUGCUGAAAAGGUGAUUCUCUGGAAUUUAAGGAACUUAAAACCCCUGAUUUAUAGCAACUGCAUAUUUUCCAGUUGUGGCUAUUUCCCACCGUGGUUUUCAAACUACCCACAUGACUUAAUUGAAAGUGAAUUAAGGAAAAAAAUACUCACAAGUAGUUCUCACACAGUUCUCACUGGCACAAGCCAGUUCCAGCACACUGCUGCACAUACACAAACAUAUGCACACAUGCAUACACACAUAUAUACACACAUGCAUAUUCACAGACACAUAAAAACACAGAUGCAUAGAGACACCAGAUUUAUCUCCUUCAUUCGUACAGAUGGACCAUUAAAUAAGAUGACAAGAUGAAUUUAAUAGCAUGACAUAAUCAAAUAUAGAGACAGAUAUAAAAUACAUAGAGUAUGAAACUAUGAAACAAUUUUGGAAAUAAAAGUGUAUAUUAAUGUGCAAAUAUAUGUAUAGAAUAUGAGACUGAAAACACCAAAAUGUUGAUACUGUUUAUUUCUGGGUAGUUGGAUGACAAGUGAAUUUAGUUUUUCUGAUUGUGCUUUUCUUUAUCUUUAAGGAACAUGUUUUCUUUUAAUCAGAAAGAAAUAAUUACAUAUAUAUGUAAUUAACAUAUAUUGUAUAAUAUAUAUCACAUAUAUUCCACAUAUAUGGAAUAUAUAUUGUGUUUUAAAGUUUAAAAUGUGAGGAGACCACGUCAAUGAGGAACUUGGAACCAAGUAAAACAUGGAUGGAUAUGUGACAAUAUUGUGGAAUAGAGUGAAAAUUCAGCUCAGAAAUAGUGAAGCUUAUUUUAAAUGGAAACUAAAAUAAGAUCAUGUGGAUUAAAUUAGAGAUAUUUCCAGGAGAAGAUAUGUUUGAGCAUAACUUUCCUCUCCUCCCUAUCUGAGGAAAAUUCUGGAAGAGACUUCAUACGUAUCUAUAUUUGUAUCUAUGUCAGAAAAGGAGAGAAGUAAGGCCUGGGAGGCAGCUUGCUGUUGUGAAAGGAAAAUGAAGUCAGAUGAUCCUUAAUUUGGAUACUCUUUCUUACCAUUUGGGGCAAGUUACUUCCUCAAAGCCUCAAUUUCUUCUUCUCUAGCAUGAGAUUAAUAUUUGUGAUUCAUCAGAAGGUUAAACAAAGCAAUUUUUACAAAGUAAAAAGCAAAUUUUACAAAGAAGGCUUUCAUUUUGUUCUGUCCUAUUUUAUUCUAAAUUAUGGUAUGUUACCCAAAUCCCAGUGGGAGCUUUUGUGAGUGAAUGACAUUAAAAAAUUACUGGAACAGGAAAUAUUUCCCUUUAAUGAACUAGAUGAGAUUUUUUAAAAAAAAACCACUAAUUAUGUAUUUUACAUUAUGGAAACAGAGAUUAUAUAAUGAUAAAAAGAUGUGUAUUAUAUUUUAAAAAAUAGUUACAAAAAGUAAAUCUUUUGUUUUCAUGUGAUCCAUUCAUUUGUCCAUUAUUCAACAGAUAUUUAUACAAUACUAAUUCAGUGAAAACCAGCAUUAGCUUAGGAGAAAGUAUUAGGAAGUACAAGAUUAAUGACAUCUGGGACCAAGAAAUUUUCAGUAAAAUCAAUGAAUGGCAUUUUGCUUAUUUCGGAACAGCAAAAUAGAAAUAGUCAAUACUAUAGUCUCUGCAUCUAGUCCUUCUGUGUGAAUAUGUAUCUAGAGGCUUAUGCAAAAUAAUGCCUAAGGUUAGGACAAGCACUUUUAUUCAGCUGAUAAUAAAAUAUAUAAAGUGUACAAUGAAUAUCCAAAUGUAUAAUAAUCUAAUCCAGAAUUACUCAAUCUAUGAAUUAUUAAGAUAUGGUAAGGACAAGAUUAAAACUAUGUUUUUCUGCCUGGCUGUCUUUAAACUAUUGUUACAUGGCAACCCUUUAACAACCCAGUAGUUAGCCAUGAUCAUUGUAUUAGGCUGCUUGGGUUGCUGUAACAAAAUGUUAAUACCAUAGACUGGGUGGCUUAAAUAACAGACCUUUAUUUCUCACAGUUCUGGAGGUUGGGAAGUCCAAGAUCAAGGUGCUGGCCAAUUCUGUUCCUGCCUCUCUUUUCUGGCUUAUAUAUUUCUGCCUUUUUGCCGUGUCCUUGCAAGGCAGAGAAAUAUCUUCUCCUACUCCAAUUCUUCCUUCUACUCCUUCUUUUUCUUCAUAAGCCACUAAUCCUAUCAUGACAGCCCUAUUCUCAUUACCUCAUUCAACCUUAAUUAUCUCCCAAAGGGCCCACAUCCAAAUACCGUCAUAUUGAGGGUUAAGGCUUCAACAUCUGAGUUUUGGGGGAGACACAAUUUGGUCCAGAGCAACCAUCAUUUUGCUAAUGCCAUCUGGCUUGUGAAAUAUUAAUAGCAAGUCUAAGACUUUUCUCAAUAUUCAAAGAGGAAGGCUCAAAGAGAUUUUGAUAGUUUUUGGUUGUUUGUGAAUAUAUACAAGCUGAAUAGAAGUUUCAGUGUAAGGAUGGUAUCACACCCUUUCUCACCACCUACUCCCAAAUUUUGAAAGCCAUUACUUGAGAAAUAGACAUCCUCUUGGUGUUGUCAAUGUUCCUGAAUACACAAUAAUUGUUAAUACAUUUUGCAAAGAGAAUAUGCACCGUUGAAAGGGAAUAUUACUUAUUCAUUCAUUCAAAAAAUUAUUGAGCGCUGCUAUUUUCCAAGCACUUUUCUGAAUGCUAAGAAUAUAGGAAUAAUCAAAAGAGAAAAAGUCUCUUCUCUCAAAGAGCAUAUUGCCUUGUGUUGGAGGCAAACCAUAAUUAAACAGACAAGUGAAUAUCUAGUUUGUCAGAUAAUGAUUAGUCCUAUGGAGAAGUAUAAAGCAGGAUACAGGAAAUGGGGAGGGCUGGUAGGUGGGGAGAAGAGUGGUUAUUUUAUGUAGGUAAACAGGGAACCUGAAGUAAAUAAGGGAGUGAGCCAUGCUGAUGUCAGGAGAAAAGUUUCAGAAGGUGAGGAGAACAAAUGCAGAGGCCACAAGGUGAGAGAAUGCUUAGGUGUAUGAAAGACAGCAAGGAGCCCAGUGUAUAUAGACCAACUGAACCAGAGGAAGAAUCAUAGGAGGUGAGAACGGUAAUGUAGGGGAAGAUUACGCUAAACCCUGUAUGUUAUUGUAAGAAUUUUAGCUUUUGCUGGGAGUGAGAUAGGCUACUGAAGGUUUAUGAGCAGAGGAAUCUUAUCAGAUUUAGGUUUUAAAAGUGAAAUGUGUUGGUUGUAGAAACAGCUGACUUUAGAUGGAUAAGGCAGAAAAAGUGAGAUUAAUUGCAAGAUCGUUGCAAUAAUCUAGGAGUUAAAUGGAGGUUGAAUGAAUAAGGGAGAAUGGAAGGGUGAGUGAGAAGGAAUCAGGUUUUAGAUACAUUUAGAAGAAAGAGCUAGAGCCAGCUGACAGCAUUUGCUAAUGGAUUGCAUAUGAAAGAAAGAAGUCAAGGAUAAUCCAAGUUAUUUGGUAUGAACAACGGAGAAACGAAGUUGCCAUUUGUAAAAUAAGUAAGGCUGAGGAAGGAGCAGGUUUGGGGAAAAUGGGAAAUUGAAGUCAAUUCCAGAUCAGUUAUGUUUGAGAAGCCAAUUAGAUACACACAAGGAAAUUCUGAGGAAGGAGUUAGUAUUAUUAAUUUCACUUUAGGAGAGAGAUAUGGGAUUGAGUUUGACGGUGAGUAGUUGUCACUUACAGAUGAUACAUCAAAUCACGUGACAGGAUGAGAUCCUAGAAAGUGAAUGCAAUUACAAAAGGAAUGAGGUCCGAGAAAACCUACUUGGGGCAUUCUAAAGUCAGUGGUCUGAGCGGUCAGAAGGAAUUUACAAAGGAACUGAGAAGAAGAGCCAAUGAGAAAGGGAACUUCUUUUUUUUCACAGUGAGUGCUUGUGAACUUUAAAGGAAUGUGUGAUGAGGAGACUUUUUUUUUAAAUAACUGGAAUUAUAUCUUUCUUUUCUAAUGGUCUAGUAGGAAAAACUGUUUCCUUUAGGGGAGAGGGCAAUUGCUGGAGUAAUAUCCUUAAGUAAUAUCACAAUUUAUUUAUAGUAACAGGAGAGAAUGUCAGGUAUUCAGGUGCAUAGGCAGAUAGAUUGGUACAUGUGGUUGUGGGAGCAUGAGGAACUUCUCUCUUCUUUCUUUUUAAUUCUCACUGACGCAGGAAGUAGACUCCUUGCUGGCAUGACUAUGAAGGCAGAAGAUUAAAGGUUUUUUUCUUUUUUUAAUUUAAAAUUUUUAAUUUUUGUGAGUACAUGGAAGAUUAAAAUUUGAAGAAGACAGCUUAGAAAUCUGGGAAAAUAGACCAUCCUGGCUAACACAGUGAAACCCCUUCUGUACUAAAAAUGCAAACAAUUAGCUGGGUGUGGUGGCGGGCGCCUGUAGUCG